rnacentral:rRNA from 1 species
CCUACGGGUGGCAGCAAUGAGGAAUAUUGGUCAAUGGCCGGAAGGCUGAACCAGCCAAGCCGCGUGAGGGAGGAAGGCGCAGCGCGUCGCAGACCUCUUUUGCCGGGGGACAAAAGGCCGGACUCGUCCGGUCCUGAGGGUACCCGGCGAACAAGCAUCGGCUAACUCCGUGUCAGCAGCCGCGGUAAUACGGAGGAUGCGAGCGUUAUCCGGAUUUAUUGGGUUUAAAGGGUGCGCAGGCGGUCUGUUAAGUCAGCGGUAAAAAUGCGGUGCUCAACGCCGUACAGCCGUUGAAACUGGCAGUCUUGAGUGGGCGAGAAGUAUGCGGAAUGCGUGGUGUAGCGGUGAAAUGCAUAGAUAUCACGCAGAACUCCGAUUGCGAAGGCAGCAUACCGGCGCCCGACUGACGCUGAGGCACGAAAGCGUGGGUAUCGAACAGGAUUAGAUACCCGUGUAGUC